rnacentral:rRNA from 1 species
AUACAAAUAAGAUAAUUUAAAUUUAUUAAUUAUUAAUUAAUUAUUUAUCAAUAAAUUUUAUUAUGAUUAUUUAAGGUGAAAUUUUAUAAUUGUUAAAAUUAAUUUUUAUUAAAUGAUAUUAAAUAAUAAUUAAAAUUAAACUAGGAUUAGAUACCCUAUUAUUUAUUAGAAAAAUUUAAUAUUUUAUUAUUAAGUUUAAUUAAACGUAAAAUAAAAAAAUUUGGCGGUAUUUUAUUCUUUUCAGAGGAACCUGUUUCGUGAUUGAUAGUCCACGUUUUUCUUUGCUUUUAAUAUGGUUUGUAUAUCGUCGUUUUUUAAAUAUUUUAAUUGAAAUUAAUGUUUUUAAUAUUUUGUUUAAUAAAAUAUCAGAUCAAGGUGCAGCAUUUAGAAGAGAUAAUGGGUUACAUUAUACAAAUAUUUGAUUUUAGUUUUUAAUAGAUUAAUUAAAUUGGAUUUGUAAGUAAAUUGGAAAAUAUAUUUCUAUUGAUUAAGUUUAAAAAUAUGCACAUAUUGCCCGUCGCUUUCAUUAUAAAAUGAAAUAAGUCGUAACAAAGUAGAUUUACUGGAAAGUGUAUCUAGA